AGCAGCGUGGCUCGGUGGAAAGAGCCCCGGGUUUGGGAGUCGGAGGACCUGGGUUCGAAUCCCGGCUCUGCCG
rnacentral:tRNA from 1 species